GGUUAAGCGACUAAGCGUACACGGUGGAUGCCCUGGCAGUCAGAGGCGAUGAAGGACGUGCUAAUCUGCGAUAAGCGUCGGUAAGGUGAUAUGAACCGUUAUAACCGGCGAUUUCCGAAUGGGGAAACCCAGUGUGAUUCGUCACACUAUCAUUAACUGAAUCCAUAGGUUAAUGAGGCGAACCGGGGGAACUGAAACAUCUAAGUACCCCGAGGAAAAGAAAUCAACCGAGAUUCCCCCAGUAGCGGCGAGCGAACGGGGAGCAGCCCAGAGCCUGAAUCAGUGUGUGUGUUAGUGGAAGCGUCUGGAAAGGCGCGCGAUACAGGGUGACAGCCCCGUACACAAAAAUGCACAUGCUGUGAGCUCGAUGAGUAGGGCGGGACACGUGGUAUCCUGUCUGAAUAUGGGGGGACCAUCCUCCAAGGCUAAAUACUCCUGACUGACCGAUAGUGAACCAGUACCGUGAGGGAAAGGCGAAAAGAACCCCGGCGAGGGGAGUGAAAAAGAACCUGAAACCGUGUACGUACAAGCAGUGGGAGCCUCUUUAUGGGGUGACUGCGUACCUUUUGUAUAAUGGGUCAGCGACUUAUAUUCUGUAGCAAGGUUAACCGAAUAGGGGAGCCGAAGGGAAACCGAGUCUUAACUGGGCGUUAAGUUGCAGGGUAUAGACCCG
rnacentral:rRNA from 1 species